ACCCCACCAUUAUUAAGCCGGCCAUUUUUGCCUUUUAUCAUGGUCCAAUGGUGUGCUAGCUGUGGGAACAUUAUCCAUUUAGAUUUGUGUAUGAAGAGUCGCUUUUCUGUUGGCGAUUUUUCAAAGGAAUUUUCUAAGUACA